rnacentral:lncRNA from 1 species
GACCCCAUAGGUUCUAUUCUGUCUGGUAGUGGAUAUAUUAUGAUCUCUAUCAUAAUAUCAUUGAAACUCCUUUCAAUGGAUUCAAACAAUUCCAACUCUUCUCAUUCGGGUUUACUGAUCAUCAAGUGAAUACCUUUGAGUCUCACAAUCCACUAGUGACACCUAGCAGCAUGUAGUGGCUACUCAACAGAUUGGAAUUGAUGAACCUCUAGGUGCAGUUAGCGUAUGAUACAAUCUCUAUAUCGUGGAUCACGACAGGAUGGAGGUUAUGGAUAACUCGUCAAACCCCAUCAUCUGUCAUAUAUCAAAAUUUAUUCAACUCUAGUUCGAGAUUGGAAAACUCUUUUUUCAAAAAACUACCUUGGCCAAGGAUUUAUGAACUCAGUCUCAUAAAUCACAUAGGAUCUCUUCUAAUCUAUCAAGGUCGAUAGAUUUCAUCUAGAUGCACCUCCUAUUCCUACAAUAAAUCUAUUGCAACCAAUCUGCACCAUGUUUAUGUGCUCGGCAAACUGUAGCAACCUCACUGUGAAUAGCUGAGGCAUCACAGGUCAAAGGACCAGUCAUACAACGGCAGCAUCAAAUAAGUCAUCGACGAGUUGAUAGACAUCCAAGUGACUACUUGCUAUGGUCACGCUCAGUACUCUUGUUCUCCAAGAAGCACUUGCACAAUUACUCCAGUGUCCCCACACCGUAGACUCAAGACUCGUCCAUCAAAGAAAGUAGUCUGUGUACUAAUCUCAGUGAAUCGAUCAUCGUCCUCGUGAUGAUCCAUCGAUCAGAAAUAAUUCAAAAAUUAGUCACCAAUGAUACAUGCCUCAAAUUCUCAAUUCUUGACCAUAUGCAUCAUCAUCUUAUUAAUUUCUUGGAUGAUUCAUGGACACAUAAGAACAUGAAUAAAAAUAAUGCCCAAAUUAAUAAAUUCAUAAUUAGAUCAAGUACAAAUUUAUGUCCCAAAACAAAAUAAUGCAUCUGCCAAAUUGGCUUUUAGGGCAUACUUCUAAUAGAUCACUAUUAGAAUAAGUUUUUUCAAGGCUUUUUAAGCCAUUAAUGAUAUCAGUGAAUCUUGUGAACAUGCAUGUGAUGGUUUCAGAUGGUUUCAUUUUAAACAGUUUAUAUUUAUGUAUACGCAUGUUGAUUUUAGAUUCUUUCAUUUGGUUGGCACCCUCAUGGGUAACCUCAAGUCUAUCGCAUAUUUUCUUUGCAGAAAUACAAAUGGAAACCUGAUCGGUUCUUUCAAUUUCAACAAUAAACCACGUAAUAGCACGUAUCCUGUAAGAUAGUGAUUACGAGUGUCGGUCCACAGGGAUUGGAGACAAGUUAUUUUUUCUAAUUAAAUAAUUACUUCAAAGGGCAUAAGCUAGAGUAAAUGAUAAAAACUAAGAAUUAAUGUGGAUGUAGUAGUAUGAAUUAUCUAUGGAGAGAGGUGUUUAGGGCUAGAAUCCACCGAUGGAUUCGUCUGUGUGAUGUUUUCAAUGACUUAGAUGCGUGUAUGAUCUGAUGGCUCUUAACUACAAGUUAAAGCAAUCAUACAAAAAGUUGAAAUCUAACCUACAGUAUGAGUCAUCUAAGCCUGGUACAAACCAUCUUCUCUAAGGAUAGGCAUGAUCUGCCCUAUUUAGCAUGAUUCAUCUGAUGAUUAAUUUUUCAAAGAUAAAUCUUGUAGUUGCAUAACAAUCUCUUCCAAACCACAGGUAUUGGAUUCGAUUUCGAUAAACUAGAUUAAUUCAUGCAAAGGCUUUCUACAAGAUAAACAUCUUACACAAAUUAAACAAGACAUUUCAAGAUCAUAAUUUCAUUAAAUAUGCAACUAUCUUACAAUGCUAAAAAUUAAAGAAAUGCAACAACAUAAAUACUCAUCCACGGCUUCAUCAAACCCCUAAACCAGGGUUCAGCCACUCAUGAUGCUCGGCGACUUUGAUCGGCUUGCUGAGAUGCUCCACGCCAUCCGGCUCAAGUCCUUCCCCCUUUUUCUUUCACUACUUGAUCCGCUCCUAGCCUCCCUCUAUU